CUAUGUGGCCAAACCUCCUUGUCAAGGCCUGAUCUCAUGGGAUCUGAAAAGCUAAGCAGGGCUGGGCCUGGUCAGUAUUUGGAGGGGAGACUGCUGGGAAUACGAGGUGCCACUGUGG
rnacentral:rRNA from 1 species